AAAAUCCGUCGACUUUAUAAGUUGUGAGGGUUCAAGU
rnacentral:tRNA from 1 species